AUUGAACGCUGGCGGCAUGCCUUACACAUGCAAGUCGAACGGCAGCACGGGUGCUUGCACCUGGUGGCGAGUGGCGAACGGGUGAGUAAUACAUCGGAACAUGUCCUGUAGUGGGGGAUAGCCCGGCGAAAGCCGGAUUAAUACCGCAUACGAUCUACGGAUGAAAGCGGGGGACCUUCGGGCCUCGCGCUAUCGGGUUGGCCGAUGGCUGAUUAGCUAGUUGGUGGGGUAAAGGCCUACCAAGGCGACGAUCAGUAGCUGGUCUGAGAGGACGGCCAGCCACACUGGGACUGAGACACGGCCCAGACUCCUACGGGAGGCAGCAGUGGGGAAUUUUGGACAAUGGGCGAAAGCCUGAUCCAGCAAUGCCGCGUGUGUGAAGAAGGCCUUCGGGUUGUAAAGCACUUUUGUCCGGAAAGAAAUCCUUGGCCCUAAUACGGUCGGGGGAUGACGGUACCGGAAGAAUAAGCACCGGCUAACUACGU
rnacentral:rRNA from 1 species